rnacentral:tRNA from 1 species
UUCCAUUGUUGGGCAACGCGUUCGGCGGUUUGGGGCAUCGUCAGGGUGGUCUCGGCGUCGAAGGCGGGGUUGGUGAAACGCCAGCCGAUCGAGG